AAAAAUUUAGUUAAUAUAUAACAUUAACUUGUCAAGUUAAAAUAAUUAAAAAUAAUAAUUUUUA
rnacentral:tRNA from 1 species